rnacentral:tRNA from 1 species
AUUUAAGUAGCUUAAAUAUAAAGCGUAAUAUUGAAGAUAUUAUUAUAGGUUACACCUCUUAAAUA